ensembl:lncRNA
GUGGUGCCUGACUCUGCCAGACUCUCUGUCUGUGCCCCAGGGAAGCGACAUGCAGCUCCCAGGACUUUGUUUCCUUCAUCGGUAAAAUAGGAAUUUAAAAACCGGCACUAAACGUCUGCUCUCAAGGAUCACUGUGAGGAUGAAACGGCAGCUCCAGUAUGGCCCAGCCAGGUGUGGACAGGAGGCUUCUGGACAUGAAGAUGUGAACACACUGUGUGGUCUGCAAGCCUGGUGUGCACACGGCUGCUGGCUGACACGCCUGUCCCAGCCACAGCCCCAUGGCAUGCUUGUCUCCAGGCAUGAGUCCAAGCUGGCUCCAUCUUUCAGCACUGGACCCUAGAGAGCAUCCAGUCUUCUUCAAACCUCUGUUUCCCCAUCUGCAAAAUGGCAGUCUCAGGGCCUCCACCCUGCACCUCAAAUUCUGAGGGCCUGAUGCAUUUCUGAGUUCCCAACUUUUGGAUUUUUAGAAAAGUAAUAGAGUGUGGGUGUUACUUCAUAUGUAACACUAUGUUAUGGAUUAGCUCCAAAAUGUACCCCAAAAGUCAUAUGGGUGGAAGGUGACUGCAUCAUGGAUUCACUCACUGGUGACCUCAGGGCUGAGUGUGCUGUUAGGCGUGGGCCUGGCUGACGCUGGUCCCUGGGGUCUCUCUGCUUCCUGGGUGCAGCUGUCCUCUGCUGGGCCUUCCACCAAACCUUUCUGCUGUGGAGCUGGUAGACCAUGGACAGAACCCACUGAGACUGUGAGCUAAGUAAACCUGUCCUCCCCUAGGCUGUGGGUGCUGGUAUUGUAUUCCAGCAAUGGAACGUGACCGAGACACACCACUAGUCCUGCGUCAAACUUACCAACAUUUCUCCAGCAAAUCUAUGAAUGUCCAAAUUAAGCAGAUUACGUAAAACCACGAGUAAAUUCAUGCUAGCUGAGGUCAGGUUUUGCCACCAAAUGAAGUAAUUGUUUUAAGUUGCUGUGUUCAGAACAUUGUGCGUGAAGAACUAGAGAUGUGAGUAGCCGUCCAGUGCCACCUCCCUCAUGGGAAGACAGGAGUCCUGUGCCUGUGGAGGGUGCUGCAGGGACAUGGCUUUACAACACUGGCUGCCAUGCACAGCUUUUCAUGGUGGCUCUGAGCCAGGAGCCAUUUUCCUUAUGAUUGGUGUAUGUUUGUGGUACAUAAAAGUUCCGUAUAUGUGCCCCUCUCUCUUCCCUGGGUCCCUGUCCCCUUCUCCACAAAGUCUGCCUCCCCGUUUCCUACCAUCUCUUUUAUUUUGCUCUUUAGAUUAUUUAUAUUUUGGGUUUCUCAGAGAUGAGAAACUGAUAUUUAACCCCUGUCUGAUUUCUUUCACUUAGCAUGAUGGUCUCAAGAUGCACCCAUUCUGUUAAUGACUCACAUCUGUCCUGCUUCUCAGCUGAGUUGUACUCCAUCGUGUGUGCAGCAUACACCACUUUUUUUUGGUACUGGGAAUUGAACUCAGUUCCUUGCACUUGCACAGCAGGCAGCAGAACCACUGAGCUAAAUCCCCGGCCCUACGCCACAUUUUAAUGCCCAUAGUGAAGAGGGGAACAGAGGCCCAGGGCAGUUGAGUAGCUGCUCAUUGUACAUAGCUCUAAAUGACCAGCUGGCCCUCAAUGUCCUAGCCUGGCAGCAUCCACCCAUUAUGUGCUUGUCACUAAGCUGGGAAGGAGAAGUGGCAACUCAGGCCUCUGACUCCUUUCUUUGUUUGCUUGCGGUCACACUCUGGGCAGGUGCUCACCACUGAAAUGGACUCCAGCCAGGCCUGGACUUUGACUCUGCCCUCUCAGCUCACCAGGCCUCUACUGGAGGGAGAUGUGAAAGAGAAAGUUAAAAGCGAGCACGUCUUUCUGGAAGUCUGGCUGGGCCUGCACUCAAUCUCCCAGCCCCGCUGUCCGCACUGCAGUGCUUGCUCUCCUCGGGCAGCGGCCUGACUGCCUGGCUGCUCCUGCUCUGUCCAGGCAGCCCAGCUGGUCAGAGAUCCCUGCAGGGCCCCGGCCCUCAGAGAGGUCACCCAGUCCCCCUUCCCAGCGGCCAGGUUGCCUGGCCAGUGUGGAUGUGGGGAGGAGCAGAGGUCUCCUGGAUGCUGUGGCUGCACAGACAUCUCCAGACUGCCAAGUUCUGCCUGCCUCCCGUGCAGCCAGCACCCGGCCAGGCUUGAAUCAUUCUUCAGCUUGAGCUGCGUCCCACGCUGCCGGCUCCAGUUCGAUCCCUGCAGAGCAGCACUCAUCCACCCACACUUGCUGCUGGCACCCGGUUGCCUGUCAAACUCACCCCGCUGCAUGCUGGGUCCUCACACCCAUGGCACACAUCCCAGUUCCAGGGUCGCUGCAGUGACGGAUUGAGUCCCAGAGCUUGAAAUUGUCCUCAACUCUGCCCUUGCAUCCCUGUCUGAUGGUGAGGUCUCUGGGUUCCUGCAGCCUGGUCACUCUGGUCAGCGGGUCCAGCUCCGAUGACUGCAGUGUUUCCUGACAUGUCCCCUGCUGCCUUGUGUGUGGUUUGUGAAAUCAUGAGAAAUAGACACAUUGAUCUCUGCCCUGGUCCCUGGCCUACAGCUGCUGAAGCCCUUGCAGACAGGGGCACUGGGAGGUUGUUUGUUCUAGUAUCGGGUCUUUGACCCCAGUUCCAGAGCUCCUAGGAUGUCUGUCAUUUCCUGAGUGAUAGGAGGGUCCAGCACACAGGUCCUCGUCCUCUGGAAUUUCCUGGGAGGUGAGAGUAUCCAUUGUUCCUGUGAGGGACCUCUCUGGUGGGCUCCUGGGAAGCGGGAGGACCAAGCCAGCUCCACCUGCCCCUCAUCGUCUGGGAAGAGGAUUAAUAAUUGGUUAUGCAGAUGGGAUGCAGCCUCCAUAAAAAUCCCUGAAUUCCUGGGUUUGAGAGCUUCCGGACAGCUGAACACACAGAAGUCUCUGGAGGGGAACCCCGAGGAUGGACCCUGUCCAGGGCCCUCUCCACUGUGUCCCUUGUUGUAUCCUUUAUGACAAAUGACUGUACUAUGUAGAGUGUGCUCCUGCAUUCUGCUUUAACAGAUUAACAAUGUCGAUGAGGGACAGUAGGAACCCCUAGUCUGUAGCCUGUCAGUCAGAAGUUCCAGAGGCCUGCACUCGCAGGUGGCAUCGCAAGAGGGGACAAUAUGGCUGAGCCCUGUGACGCUGUCUCCAAGUGGACAGGGUCAGAAUCGAGUUGAGCACACACUUGGUGCUGAAGGCUGGAGGGCUGGCUGUGAAUGGGAGAAAACCUCACCCACGCUUGGAUCUGGGAAGUGUGUUGUGUGGUCUUCACAGUAAGACUAUUUUCUAGCUGGAGUUAGCUCAGCUGACCCCAUCUGCCUGGGUGACUUUCACAAACUUAUUGAGUGAAAGGUGCUAAAUACAUGACUAAAUGUAUGUGAAGUUCAAGAAUAAGCAGACUGGCAGAGGUAGGUGCUAUCAUUGCCUCUAGGGCGGGUGUGCCGCAGACCAGCUGCAGUCGAUGUAGGGUAGGAAGGGGAGAUGUCCUGGGCCGGAGAUGAGAAAAGAACCUUCACAAGCAAUGUUCAGGUUCCCUCUGAGAAGUCUUUGGGUCUGAUUUAUUUUUAUAUCUUUAAGCAACAGCUAAGAGGCAUUGGGCGGAACAUGUUCACAUUUUAUGUUGCCUUAGCAAUAUCUGAUGAGGUACAGGUUAUUUUUGCUAAACAGUAUAUUUUUUCUAAGCUGAUUCAUUUCAUUGAACAUCAUGAAUACAUUUCUUAAAAAUUGCAAUUGUUCCCUCAUUGUCCCAUACCUAAGCAGAACAAAAAGUAACUUAAUCAAAUUAAAUGUCAAACUUGUGGUCACCAGCUAGCCCUUGAGAAACUGCACAAUGGUUAAUAUAGUUUGCUAUUAGCUCUAUUUAUCUUAACUAAAUGUCAUUUGGGUUCAUAGUCCAUGAGCAGGAGAUAUUUACAGCACUUUGAGAGAUAUUGAGUAACUUGCCUCCUUAAUGCAUUUACCUGUCUUAACGUUCUUUUUAUUUCCCAUUUCCCACUAUUUCUUACAUCUAAAGCCUGACCUUUCAAUCUCUUCAUAAGACCCCUUUAGUAAAAAGAAUGUCAGCAAUAAGAGAGGGAGUUAUAGUAGUGGGCAACAGAGGGGGUUUUAGGAGAGGUUUCUUUAGGAGUGGAUGUGGCAAUAGAACUAAGAGAAACUGGAAUUUGGGGCUUAUGAGCCAGAUCAGAUUUCAAUAUAUCAUUGCCAAUUUGCCUCAUGGAGAGUUUGUUGUUAGUCAUAAACACAAUGGCUCCUGUGAUCAGAGGAAUAAUUAUAAACAUUAUGGCAAGAAAAAAAUAAAACAUGAGGGUACGAUGUGUUCCACCCUUUCUUUCCCCCAGCUGGAACUUUGUCAAGCAGCAAUGGAGGUCCGUUGGGCUUCGCCACAGUUCUGCAUGACCUAAAAUCCCUCCACACUUGGAUUUCAUGAUGUUUUAUGGAAUGUGCAGUGACCUUGUUUUCCACGUUUCGAACCAGAAAAUCUUUGGACUCAUGGGAACAUGGGUUUGGAGCCAGACAGACAGCCUGACAACAGGGCUGUGGAAGAACUCAAGGCCGGUGCUGGUCCAGGGAGGUAACCCCACUGCUUGGUCCUUGGCAGAAGGGCUGCAGGCAUCCCUAGGGUUAGGAAGAGCCAUGCUCCAGUCCCCAUCUGCCCAGUAUACGAUGCAGGCCUGAGAAAAAAGACGCUAAGAGACAGAACUAGAAGGGAAAGUGGGGGCCAGGAUGGCCAAUGCCGGUACAGCUGACAAAGAUGCUGGCCAGUCCCAGGCACUGAGUUUUACUGGCAAUCAGUUGAGUUAAAGGCGAGCUACAAAUAGUCUCUAUGGAAAUUAAUGUAAAAAAGGCUCAUAAAGGACAAGACAAACCAUUCUCGAAUUUAGGAACAUAAUAGACAAAAUAUAUGGUUGCAAUUAGAACAUUGUCCUUCUAGUCAGAAGGGUUUAGUUGUGGGAACGGAAUUUGGGUGUGAGUUACUCUGACCUCAGCACGUAGGCUUCAGCCAGACUCACUUCUAUAAACAAGCCAGCUGUGGGGUUAACUCUUCACAGCCUGCUUUGGGAAUAAUCAAUUUUAUGGUCCUCUGCACUCCAGGAGUGUUAGUUGUGCACAGGCUUAUCUUCUCACUGCUCUGAUAUGCACAUGAAGAUAGGUUUCAAGGCAAAAAGCUUUCCAUGAGGCUUAGCUGAAUAUUUUGAAGAGCAAAUCAAGACUCAGUCAGGUGUGUGAUGAUACAUGGAUAGGGCUACCAGCAGGGAAACUGACAGCCAGGAAGGCAGGAGCUCCCAUCAACGAAGCUCUCUAGAAUCCACAAGCUAAUGAAGUCAAGGCCAAUUGUCAGUUAGUCAGCAGGCAUAUCACCGCCAGCAUCCAGGGCAGUGGGUGCAACCACAGGUGACUGCUAAUGGGCAAAUUAGGGAACUUCACGGGCAGCAGUUCACAGAACUAGAUGGCAGGGAGACAGGGCUGCUGGAUCAAGGAGGUCCUGGGCACAGGGGUCCACAUGUGGGAUUUCUGGUGCAACUGAGAAACCCAAGGAGCCGGCUUCCUCUAGCUGCCAACUGCAGCAGCACGGUGCGUUCAUGAGCACACGGGCAUUCUUGUUUGCAGUGGCAUCACUGGUUGCUCUUGCCCUGUUUUCCUCACGCACCAGAGGAAGCACAGGGCCGAGGCUGGGCCAGAUGGUGCCACUUGUACAGGCUGGAGUUCCUCGUAGGACCACCUGCUUACCUUCAUGCUGCCCGACCCCACUGCAGCCCUGGGAACCCUCUGCUCCAUGAACUGACUUGACUCCACUCGGUAACUGAUCACUGGGCCCAAGUUCAUUGAUUUGUUAAACUAAAGGGUUUUUGUGGUGGUAUAUUUGAUUUCUAACCUUUUCCUUUGAAGAUUAGUGUGUAUAUGUGCAGGGGGAGAUUAAGAGACAAGUGCAUUUGCAUAUCUACACAUACAGCCAGUGUUCUGUGUCCCAGAUCCACAUCUGUGACUGAACCUGCUGUCUCCCUGCACUGUGCAGUUAGGGCCAUGAUGGCUGCACCUGUACAGGACAUGUCCAUACUUUCCUUCCUGCCAUUCCCCAAACAAUGCAGCAUAUCAGCUAUUUAGGUGGCGCUUACACUGCUGUAGGCAUCACAAGUCAUCUAGGGAUGAUUUAUACUGGGGUUGUACAAUAUUUUAUGGAAGGUACUAGAGCAUCCUCAGAUUUGGGCACCCAUAGGGGGCCCAGGGGCCCAUAUCUGUGGAUACUGAGGCAGGACCAUGCUUCAGUGAGGAGCCCAUGUUAGUGCACAGAGGAGAGGAGCAGCAGAAAGCACCGGGCAUCGAGGGGCCCUGCACCCACAGUGACUUUCUGUGUCCCUUCACCAGGGUCCCCUUUCCUCUUUGAGUUUUGAAUCCCUCCACUGGAGGGUAGAGAAGAUGAUUUCACCCUGCUCUGGGCUCCGCUCAGCUCUGAUCUCCUGCUCUGGGCUGGGACACCUGUGUUGUCACCUGCCUCCUCUGCUCACCCUGCAGGAAAUACACUCGAGAAGGACACUUGGCAUGAGAAUGUGCCUGAGGGAGGCAGUCUUGCUCUUCCUGACACUGCUUUCCUGGGAGGCCAAAGUCCACUGGAUUGGCAAAGACCCCUAAACACUGUCCUGAGAAAUGCCAGGGCAACCCUGUGCCCUACACUUCUUCCAUGAAGGACCAGUCCCAGCUGCAGAAGGGCCAGGGCAAGGUGGUCAAGAAGACUGUCCAGGGCAUUCAUCAGAGGUCACCUUGACCACUCAAUGUGCAGCUCCUCAGGGCAGAGAGGGCACAGCUGUGGCAGCUAAAGCAGAGGGCACAUUAUACUCGGGCCCCUUCCGCCUCUGCUUCCCAUACCCUGCCCAUACCUGGCUUUGUUUCCUAGUCUCCCUCCAUGCGCCCACCCUCCUCUUGAGCAGAAUUCCAGCAUUUUCCAGUGCUCUUGUUCCUUCAGUGAGACUGGCAGCAUCACUCAGACAAAUCUGCCUGCUCAGUCUCUUUGGCCAGGGUUGAGUUGCUCCCGCUGGCCACUCCAUGUGCCUUAUACAUUUCCUCUCUUCACAGAACCAGGAGCUUCUGGAAAGCCUGAACUCAGGGAUGCUGUGAGACUUCUCAGGGCACAUUCUUUUCCUUAAAUUCCUUUAUUGGUACAUUUUAGGUAAACAAUACAGUUACAUUCAUCAUUGGGAUCUUGCACCUAUACAUGAUGCAUCUCGGUUCUUAUUUUUCCCCUCUCCCCUGCCCUCCCUUCACCCCCUCCACCCUUCUCUAUUUACAGAGACUUUGUUUCCAUUUUUUCCUUUUCUCAUAUUUUUUCCUUUCCCUUUUUUCCUUUCCCCUACCCCUCCCACUUCCCCUACUCCUUUAGACCUUUUCUUCCUAUUGCACAUUAUCAAUUAUUCAUUUUAAUCCUUAUUUACACUUUCAGUUUCUCACACCAGAGAAACUAUUUGGUAUUUACACAUGUGUGUCCUAUUUAUUUCACUUAAUAGUAUCACCUCAAUGUGGAUCCAUUUAGCUAUAAAUGUCUCUAGUUUGUCAUUCUUUAUGGCUGAGUAGUACUCCAUUUUAUUUUUUAAAAACCCCACAUCUUCUUUAUCCAGUCUCUAGUUGAUGGGCACAUGGGCUAUUUCGAAGCUUUAGCUAUUACAAACUGCUGCUAUAAACAUGGGUAUGCAUAUAUUGCUGUGGUAUGAUUCUUUUAAUUCUUUUGGGAAAAUACCCAGCAGAGGAAUAGCUGGGUCAAAUGGGACCUCUAGCCCUAGUUCUUUGAGGUAUCUCCAUACUGAUUUCCAUAGUGGCUGCACCAGUCUGCACUCCCACCAGCAAUGGAGAAGGGUUCCUUUCUCUCCACACCCCGCCAGCAUUUGUUAUUGGUUGAUUUCUUGAUAGCAGCCAUUCUUUGUGGGGUGAGGUGGAAUCUCAGCAUUGUUUUCAUCUGCAUCUCUCGAAUGACCAGUGAUGUUGAACAUUUUUUCAUAUGUUUCUUUGCUGCUUUUACUUCUUUGAGAAAUGUCUGUUUAUUUCAGACAUUAUUUCUGUUUUAUUUCAUUUUUUGGAUUGGGUCUUUAUAUCUGGGGGGUCUGAUUUUUUUUUAGUUCUUUAUGUAUUCUAGAUAGUAGUCCUUUGUUUGAGGUACAGCUGCUAAAAUUUUUUCCCCACAUUGUAGGUUGUCUCUUAGCUCUGUUGGUGGUUUCUUUUGCAGUGCAGAAGAUUUUAAUAAGAUGAGAUCCCAGUUGUCGAUUCUUUGUGCUAGCUCCCAUGCUACUGAGGUUUUGUUCAUAAAGUCUUUUCCUAUGCCAAUGUCUUUGAGAGUUCUACCUAACUUAUCUUCCAGCAAGUUUAGUGUUUCUGUUUUAAUAUUUAGAUCUUUAAUCCACUUCGAUCUUAGUUUAGUGCAUGGUGAUAGGUAUGGGUCUAGUAUGUAUGAUAGGUAUGUCACUCUUUUUGUUUUAUAUAAUAGAAAAUGAAUGUCUAUUUGGCAAAAAAUUUUCCCAAUGAUUAUUAAGCUUUUUUGUUCUUUUUUGUUGUUGUUGCUUUUUAGGCAGGGUCUCUCUUUGUAGUUCAGGCUGGCCUUGAACUCACUGUGCAGCCCAGGCUGUCUCAAACUUGUGGCAAUCCUCCUGCCUCAGCCUCCCGAGUGCUGGGACUACAGGAGUGCACCACCACACCCAGCUUUAAGCUUUUUUUUAUUCUUAAAAUCAGCCUGGGGCCAGGGAUUUAGCUCAGUGGUUCCCUGCCUGCCUUGCAAGCGGAAGGACCCGAGUUCGAUUCCCGGCACCAAAAAAAAAAAAAAAAAAAAAAAAGCAGCCUGAACCUGUGUUACCUAAGAUAAAGAACAACUUUCUACCUCCAUGUGAUGAGAUCAGGGAUGAGGUUAAAGGUGCAGAUGGCCUGGUGUCUCUGUAACUCAUGUGACCCUGUGAAGGGGGUGGGAGGCUGUGUCUUGCACCAAGCAGUUCCCUUCCUGGAUUUGUCGUUUGCUUCCUUGUUAAAUUCUGCACAGUGUGAACGUGUUGCUUUCUCUAUUUGACCCUUUAGCCUGGGAGGGUCCCAGCCUGUGGGUAACAGUGCUGAGGUGGGAUGGGAGAAACGAAGACAGGUGGAGAACGGGCAAAGAGAGGUGAAACUUUAAAAUUGUGUUGCUAGAAAAACUCAGCUUCAGGACACAAGUCACUCGGCACACUCAAAAAUACUUCUUCUUUCCCCUAAGGGUUGUAGGGAAGGUUGAGGGACAGGCAGGGAAAGUUAAAGGGCUUCAGCGAGGUUUCUGGCAAAUAAAGAGUUAAAGCCCUGCUAGAGACAGUAGCUAAGAAAAACAAACAGAGCUGAUGAGGCUCCUGGCUCACUUAAGGGCAAGGCUCAAUUCCUGCACCUCUGUAUAAGUACAUACAUAUUUUGUUAUUUUCUCACCAUAUUAAUACACUAAAAUGCACAGGUAUCCUUUUUACUAACUCAGCCUUAAAUGUAAUUGUGCUGCAAGUCUCACAAGAUAAACACCCGGACAACACAAAGGGACCGCAGAAGUGCUUGUUCCAGAAUGUAUACAUGGGCAACAGCGAGGGCCAUGGCCGAGUCAGAGGUCUCAGAGCCCAGAACAGCCAGUGAAGUUACGACAGCUCUCAAGGGACACGGUCCGUUUCUUGCCAUGUAAUCAGAGGCUACGAACAAAGACCCCUUGAGUUCUGGCUCUGGGCUCCCUAACUUACUCCAACAAAGUAGCUAUCUAUCGCUUUAUUUCUCUCCCUCUCUCCAAUCAAGUAAUUUUGUUUCCCCUUUUCCCUUCCUUUCCUAAUAAAGUGAUUUUGUCUCUCCUUCAGAACAUAUAUCUCUAAUUCUUUUUUUGUGUGUAUGUUGUUUUACAAACCCUAGGUAAAAAUCUACCCUCAGGAGCUGUAACAGGGUGAGGGCCUAAGGCACCUGGGCUCAACUUUUCUCCCAUGAAUUAUACUUCCUGCCACAGAAAUCUGGAAGCUGCGAUACACACAGACGUCAGCCUUCUAACUUAGCCUGGCCGGCACGGAAAUGAAGUCCUAGGUCCCCCACCUUGAGGACACCCGACUCCAUGGGAACUCCACCCCAGACCAAGAUGCAUCUCUGUCCCAAGGCUUGUCCUCCAUUCUCUGAGAGGGGACUGUUUUAAUUUUGCCUAAUAAACCUCUUCACUCCUCUUGCUGAUGAAUCUUGAAAAUACUUUUUCUGCGAUGGAAGUCAGCGAACUUUCAACCUGUUGCAUGGGUGUGAAUGCUGCUGAUCGAGGGGACCUGUCUCUGGGCCGACGAACCUGCCCUCACCAGCAUGGCGCAGUCGCAGCUGAAGAGAAGAAGUGGCGCCACGGGCAUCCACACACUCGCAGAGUGCACACCGUGGGCCAAGCCGAGAGGUGCCUCAGUGCUAACAGAAUUCUGCACAGGGUUAGAUGCGAGCCUUACCAACAGCUAGAAACCAUACACUAUGACACGGAUUACCUUUUUAGCUAUUUUAUUUUAUUAUUAUUAUUUUUUUGAGAUGGGGUCUUGCUACAUAGCCCAGGCUGGCUUUGAACUCACGGAGAUCCUCCUACCUCCCUAGUCUUGGGAUUCUAAGUGUGCAUUACACACCUGGCUCUUUUUAGUCUAUUUUAACUCUUGAUCAGUAAGCUUAUAAAACUGUGUUUCAACCAGCUUUGAACCAUCAUAUACCAUAAUUUUUUAUCUGAAUGAAAUUAUUAAGGCAGAUAUUCAUAAUAUAAUUAAACAGAAACACUAUGAAGUUCUGGUUUUUUUUGGUUUUUUUCAGUACUGAGAAUUGAACCCAGGGCCUUCACACUGAGCUACAUCCCAGCCCCUUUUACUUUUUUUUUUUUUUGGUACUGGGAGUCUAACUCGGGACCUUGUGCUUGUGGGGCAGGCCGCAGAACCACUGAGCUAAAUCCGGCCCCUUUUUUAAUUUUUAUUUUGAGACAGGCUCUUGCUAAGUCACCAAGUCGCCCAGGUUGGGUUCAAAUUUGUGGUCCUUCUGCCUCAGCCUCCCAGAGUGCUGGGAUCACACGUGUGCCCCACCCCACCCAGCUUAGUGUUCUUCUAGCCUUAAUAUUCUUUCCCCUCAUCCUUCUCCUUAAUUUGCUUGUCAU